CUUGACCCCUGCUGGUGGGGACCGGGAUAACCCCUGUCGGCCCAGAGGGGUGAAUGAGACCAGGAGGACGCCAGCUAUGUUGUUGCAGUAGCCGGGUUGGAAUGCAAGGCAGCGGCCGUCCACCCCACUCACCUCCCUUGUAGGCCUCUGGUCCCAAAGCCCAGAAUGUCUCUCCAGGACCCAGGAUCACCCGAUUUCAGGUGCUCCAGCUGCACCGGGACACUCCAGGACUCUGUACCACGAACUUCCAGGGUUUUCAAUCAGAGUAAAGAAAGUAUUUCCCCCAAAUUAGCUGGAUUGCUCAGGAGCCAUAGUGACCUACAGACUGCCAGCAUGGCUGCCCGGCCCCACCCCCCCCUUUUUAUUUUUAAAGCUCCCCAUUUAGUGUUUUUUUUUUUUUCUUU